UACGGAGGGGACUAGCGUUGUUCGGAAUUACUGGGCGUAAAGCGCACGUAGGCGGAUUUGUAAGUCAGGGGUGAAAUCCCGGGGCUCAACCUCGGAACUGCCUUUGAUACUGCAAAUCUCGAGUCCGGAAGAGGUGAGUGGAAUUCCGUAGUGUAGAGGUGAAAUUCGUAGAUAUUAAGAAGAACACCAGUGGCGAAGGCGGCUCACUGGUCCGGUACUGACGCUGAGGUGCGAAAGCGUGGGGAGCAAACAGG
rnacentral:rRNA from 1 species